GGCCGAUUCUUCUAGUGGUCAGGAAACAAGUUUCUCAAUCUUGAAAGACGGGUUCGAUUCCCGUAUCGGCUAC
rnacentral:tRNA from 1 species